rnacentral:rRNA from 1 species
GCCUACAGUCAUACCAGUCUGAAAGUGCCUGAUCUCGUCAGAUCUCAGAAGUCAUGCAGACUUCGGCCUGCUUAGUACUUGUAUGGGAGACCAACUAGGAACCUCAGGUGCCGUAAGCU